AGUCGUGCUUUUCUCUCUCUGGUGCCGGCUGGGAAGUGCUGUUUUGCUCUUCAGACACCUGAAAGGACCCUGAAAGCUGCAAGUUGCAUGCCUCCGCUGUUCCCUCUGACACAUCUUGCUACUCAAGACAAAAAGGCCUUCCUUCAAGAACCUGCAUUAUUCCCUGCUGUGCUGUGCUAGGAAAGGCAUCUCAUAGAAACAGCAACCUUUUCAGCAUGGCCCUUAAGCUUCUUUCUCCUGGCUGACCUGCAAGGCUGGAACUAAACCUCAGCUGCAGUCUGUGGAGUGUGCUGUCACAGGGAGAGGCUGCCCAAGGCUGCUGGCAGAAGUGGAGCACUCGGUGAGGACUUGUGCCCACGUACCUGCUGGGGGCCUGCCUAGGGCUUUGUCUAAUCAACUCCAGGCUGAGACAAGUCUGGUGAUGAGUCAGACAACUAGUGAAAUCUAAAGAAGGUUGAAGGUGGGAAGGGAGAGAAGAAACUUUAAGAUACCAGCAUUCCUGUUAUUGCUAAUAUAUCAUCACAAUUUUCCACUCCUAAAAAACAUGCAGGUCAGGUUUAACUUUGACUAGCUACUAAUAUUUUUACGGAAUUGAUAAAUAAAGGCAAGCACAACAGUCCCUGGGAACAUUCUCUGGAGCAUGUUAUUUCAGAUUUAUUUUCUUAAGGGUUGUUUUAAACACAGUUGCAUUUGUUGGAAAAUAUUCAUGAAACGUUUUGAUCAAUUCUGACUCCAGCACCGGUACUCUGAGCCAGUUUCUGGCAUUCAGGGCGAGCUUUCUGCCAAUGUCGUAAAUCUAGAUAGAAAGUACAUGUUAAAAUCUACUUCAAAAAAGAAUUAACGUUUAUUAGCCAGCUAUACCAAUUGCCAAAUAACUGCCAGGGAUGGAAUGAAGGGUUACAGCGUGGGUCACAAAAGCAUACAUUAUUGUUACUAACUUGGUAGAACUACAAGUUAGCUUUGUCACAUGUUUGGAAUAUAAAUGGAGACAAGCUAAAGAGUGUGUGUGCUUUUUUUUUUUUUUUUAUAUGGAACUUGUUUUUUGUUACAUACAUACCCCAGCUAGCAGCAAGGUUGCAAUGAAAAUCAUGGACUGAUAGCACUAUCAUAAAACAAAGGGUCAUUUCCAGAAUGGAUCUUGAACAUGUGUGGUAGGUAUAUAAAAGAGACUAAAUAGAUUAACAAACAGUUCUACUUUUAUUUUCCUUGUUUCUUUUGUAUACCUACAGUUGUAGGGAUCGGGGCACAUGGGCAAAAAAGUGUUUUACUAGCUUGAUAGCUUUGGUACUUCCUAAACAAUUGGGAUUGAAGUCUUUUUCAUCACAUGUUUAUGGUUAAGGGAAUAUCCAGUAGAGCUUUCAGUAUUGGUUGUGUUAGCUCUGAAAUUUACUACUUUCUGAAAUAUACUGGGUGAACUGAAGAAUGCAAAUGUGUUUUAUUAACAGUACUGUAGAAACUAUGGGACAGAAUUAUUCUGGAGUAAAGCCAAAAGUAGACUGAAAGCAGUCCUUACCUUGAAUAUAGCUGAAGUAUGACUAAAACCCAGAUAGGAAUCAGAACAACUACUGCUGAGUUUACUUUGAGUAUAACUCUGUCCACUGAGAAUAUUUUGCUACCUAGAAUAUAAUUGCAGUUUUCCUCUCAAGAUCUUGAUGCUCUAUCUAGAUUAAGAACAGCACUUCAAUAAACAUGCAUAGUGAUAAUGAACACUUCUUGAUUUCUGCUUGGAGAAGCUUGUUGAUGUUUUUUCUUUUUGUCAUCACUGUUAACUUAAUGUCAAUUGUGAUUGUAAUUAUGGCUGCAGUUCCAAAGUAAUUCAUUCUUUGUGCGUGCUUUUAUUAAAAUGUUGCUUUUGCUU
rnacentral:lncRNA from 7 species